rnacentral:lncRNA from 1 species
CUCAUUUUUCUACUGCUCGUGGAUUUACGCGCACGUUGGAACCGAAGAGAGCUCUGUUGUUGCAAUGUUCAGCCCACAAGAGCUUACUGGUGAAGGAAUGGGACAAGACCCAUCUUUAUGCAAAGCCAGCGUUACAGUAAUGUUCCAGCAUCUCAUAAUCUAUCCUGGGGAAUUCAGCUGCCUCCCAGGGUGAAUACAGGUAUUCCUGAUGACAGUCUGCCUCUAUCUUACAGAGCAGCUUGUUGCUAUAUACCAUUGAAAAGCCUUCAGAGCUGAGAGGUUAGUUGAUAUUUUUUGUUCCUUACAGCUUAUGCCACCAAGUAGGCAGUUUCUAUGAUGAAUCAAACUAGCUCACUAUGACCGACAGUGAAAAUACAUGAACACCUGAGAAACUGGAGAACGCAGGGAGUGGGGGGUAACCAUGUCUGAGGAAUCUUUCACCCACAGCUUUGUUUUUCUCUAGGUACUACUAACCAAUAACCUGCUUGGCUCAAAGGGCCAGCACCUUCUCUCUAAAGCCCAAGAGGAGUUUGAGGAAAACUAGGUGUCUGUGUUCACUCCAGGCUGAAGUUACAGGUCUGAGCAAAUAAGGUGUAUAAAAAAUGGACAUCAGAAGGUGAAUUUUCCAAGUUCUUGGACAACCUAGCUGUUGAAAAGCUUUCUGGGUUUGGGGGGUAUUUCAGAUGUACCUUAAAGUGUUAGCAGACACAGAUUAAGACACUGGGAGCCAAUGAAACAGCAGUUGAGGGUUUGCUGUGUAUCACAUUUCUGUAUUUUAUCACCCCCUUCCUGCAACAUUAUUUAUCUGGAAUCUACCUGCCCUUUUGUUUUUUAGAUACAAGGGCUUGGUUUUGUUACCCAGGCUGGUUUCAAGGCCAUAGCUUUAAGAGAUCCUCUCACCACAGAUUUCCAAAGUGCUGGGAUUGCAGGUGUGAUUCAUGGCACCCAGACUUUGCUGCCUUUCUUACAUGAUCCAGGCCCAGAACCCAAACUCAGGCACUGUAUAGAUGACCACUUUCGUAAACUACUGACCUAGCUUGUUGCCAAUUGUUGAUUGAACUUCCCAUAACUCCACUUCGUGUCUGUUCCUCUGUAUACAGCCACCUUCUGUUCCCGUCAUGAGCCUUUAGGUCUCCAUUUGCAUAUUGCAAAUACUAUGUUCCAUGUAGGUAGCUCAUUCAGGGCCUUGCUCUUCACUUCAAAAAAGGUUCCCUUGAGGACUGGCUGUCAAUUUGUGUUGCUGUGUUGGUUGUUGAUGAAAAUAAUAAAAUGAUUGAUUACA